CGAAGAAGAAACCCAGACCAGUCUUAAAAGAAAGCACAAACCAAAUUCCCUGUACACAUAUACGGACUCAGAGGAUGAGCAGCCUACAAAAAAACGGUUUCCUCAGGCCCCUCGAGUGAAAAUACCAGCCCUCAUCACUCCGCAGUCUGCCCCCCAGCCCACUGAUAGCAACCAUCAUAAUGCCCCACCCAGCUUCCGGCACCUUUCGCCACUCCGGCACAAACCGACACCGCUUUGCGAUCU